rnacentral:rRNA from 1 species
UACGUAGGGUGCGAGCGUUAAUCGGAAUUACUGGGCGUAAAGCGUGCGCAGGCGGUUUUGUAAGCCAGAUGUGAAAUCCCCGGGCUUAACCUGGGAAUGGCAUUUGGGACUGCAAAGCUUGAGUGUGGCAGAGGGGACUGGAAUUCCUGGUGUAGCAGUGAAAUGCGUAGAUAUGCGGAGGAACACCGAUGGCGAAGGCAGCCCCCUGGGCUAACACUGACGCUCAUGCACGAAAGCGUGGGGAGCAAACAGG